rnacentral:tRNA from 1 species
GGAGGAGUGCCCGAGCUGGCUUAAGGGAGCGGUCUUGAAAAUCGCCAGGGUCCUCUGGGCCCUCGUGGGUUCGAAUCCCACCUCCUCCGCCA